AGCUCCAAUAGCGUAUAUUAAAGUUGUUGCAGUUAAAAAGCUCGUAGUUGGAUUUCGGGGCGGCCUGUCUGGUCCGUCGCGAGACGAGUACUGGUCAGCCGCCCUUCCUCUCGAAAGCCCCGACUGCUCUUAACUGCAGUGGUCGGGUAGUUCGGGACGUUUACUUUGAAAAAAUUAGAGUGUUCAAGGCAGGCUCGCCAGCUUGAAUACAUGAGCAUGGAAUAAUGGAAUAGGACUACGGUCCCUAUUUCGUUGGUUUGACGGACCGAAGUAAUGAUUAAGAGGGACAAUUGGGGGCAUCCGUAUUUCGUAGUCAGAGGUGAAAUUCUUGGACCUACGAAAGACGAACAACUGCGAAAGCAUUUGCCAAGAGUGUUUUCAUUAAUCAAGAACGAAAGUA
rnacentral:rRNA from 1 species